rnacentral:rRNA from 1 species
CCUACGGGUGGCAGCAGUGAGGAAUAUUGGUCAAUGGGCGGGAGCCUGAACCAGCCAAGUCGCGUGAGGGAAGACGGUCCCAUGGAUUGUAAACCUCUUUUGGCGGGGAGCAAUGCCGGGCACGCGUGCCCGGAGGGAGAGUCCCCGCAGAAUAAGCAUCGGCUAACUCCGUGCCAGCAGCCGCGGUAAUACGGAGGAUGCGAGCGUUAUCCGGAUUUCUUGGGGUUAAGGGGUGCGUGGGCGGAUUUUUAAGUCAGCGGUAAAAUGUCCGGGCUAACCCCGGGCCGGCAGUUGAAACUGGGGAGCUUGAGUGGGCGAGAAGGAUGCGGAAUGCGUGGUGUAGCGGUGAAAUGCAUAGAUAUUACGCAGAACUCCGAUUGCGAAGGCAGCAUACCGGCGCCCGACUGACGCUGAGGCACGAAAGCGUGGGGAUCGAACAGGAUUAGAUACCCUAGUAGUC